rnacentral:lncRNA from 1 species
GUGGCAAUCUACAUGGGAGAAUAAUUGGAGAGAAAAAUCUUUCAAAGAAAAUGUUAAGGAAGUUGCAAAGAGCAAAGAAGUGGCAAUGUGAAGAAUCAUGACACUUCCUUUAAAGAAACUAGGCAAGGGCAGAAAUAAGAUGAAUGGACUCAAACUGAAAAAGUCCUUGGUGCAAUCAUGAGAGAAGAUGAGCUAGCCAGGCAUCUGCAGAAGCGAGGAAGGUUGGAUCCAGAAUGACUCAGUGAGUGGAGCACCAGGGACACAUUACCAGAUGAAAAGAGUUAACUCAGCCUGAACUCAAUUCAAGAGGGAACUCCUAGAGCAAGGCACCAAAAUAGCCUUGCAUGCUUAGUGACUCAGGCUCCUUCCCUGCCCGAAGGUGAGUAAAGUAUGGAAAUGGGAAGCAAAUCACAAGGAGGAUUUUAAAAGAGGGUACCAGAAAGUGAGACUGCCAAAAUCAAUUUUUUUUUGAUACUGGGGAUUUAACACAGGGACACUUUACCACAGAGCUAUAGGCCCCGUCCUUCUUAUUUUUUAUUUUGGAAGCUGCUGAAAGUUUUUCUAAGUUGCUAAGACUGGCCUCAGAUUUAUAAUCCUCCUGCCUCAGCCUCCACAGCCACUGGGAUUGCAGGGAGAAA